AGAUCUCCCCUGACCCUCCUGUUCUUCAGGCUAAACAACCCCAGCUCCCUCAGAGGCUCCUCACAGGACAUGUGCUCCAGCCUUGGAGCCUCAAGGCUUGUUUCACCAGCCUUGUUGUCCUUUGGACAUGCUCCAGCAUCUCAACAUGCUUUAAAUGUCCUUUAGUGUUAUUCUGAAAGAAUUCUGCAUUCUUCUCAAAUGCCAUAUUACUAUUAUUAUUUUGUUUCUAGAAAUGCUCAUAAAAGCCAUGUGUUCUUUCAGGAAGGGGAAUGGUUAUCUUACUGGUUUUCAACAUCAUUGCCAUCAUCAAAACAAUGCUCUGUAUUACUGUGUCAGGAUAAUCUUCAAAAGCAUGAAGUCAAGGACUCGAGGAAGAUUUGGUUUGGUUCUGGUUGCCAGUGACAUGUGCAUAGCAGAUGCCAGAAAGACGUUCAAGAGACACAAACACUGUCAUGCAGGAGCUACCAGUAGUGACAACUGCAUGGGAUUUAGAGAAGGCAGAAAGCAGCACCAAGAAAGGACACCCCAGAUUCCACCACCUUUGGAAACCAGGGAGGAUGUACCACAUCUUAGCUCACGGCAGUUCUGAAGACUCAUUAGCUGGAGGUUCUGGCUGUUGGCAGUGCAAAGAGGUUGCCUCUGCCUGCAGGUACCAAGGUGGAAUCAUAAAUUGCCACUGGAGAAGCAUUUUCCCUGGAGCUGCCUUCCAGGAUAAUCCCAGGCCCACACCUAGGUCAGUGUCCUAUGUUCCAUACUGG